rnacentral:rRNA from 1 species
AGCAGCCGCGGUAAUUCCAGCUCCAAUAGCGUAUAUUAAAGUUGUUGCAGUUAAAAAGCUCGUAGUUGAAUUUCGGGAUCAAUAUGUCGGUCGUGCCUCGGUACGUACUGGCGUCAUUGGUUUCUCCCUUCUGAAGAACCGCGAUGUCAUUAAUUUGGUGUCGUGGGGAAUCAGGACUGUUACUUUGAAAAAAUUAGAGUGUUUAAAGCAGGCUCGCGCUUGAAUACAUUAGCAUGGAAUAAUGAAAUAGGACGUUUGAUUCUAUUUUGUUGGUUUCUAGGAUCGACGUAAUGAUUAAUAGGGAUAGUUGGGGGCAUUAGUAUUCAAUUGUCAGAGGUGAAAUUCUUGGAUUUAUUGAAGACUAACUACUGCGAAAGCAUUUGCCAAGGAUGUUUUCAUUAAUCAAGAACGAAAGUUAGGGGAUCGAAGACGAUCAGAUACCGUCGUAGUCUUAACCAUAAACUAUGCCGACUAGGGAUCGGAUGAUGUUGAUUUUUUAAUGACUCAUUCGGCGCCUUAA